rnacentral:misc_RNA from 1 species
GAUGAAGAACGCAGCGAAAUGCGAUAAGUAAUGUGAAUUGCAGAAUUCAGUGAAUCAUCGAAUCUUUGAACGCACAUUGCGCCCGCCAGUAUUCUGGCGGGCAUGCCUGUUCGAGCGUCAUUUCAACCAUCAAGCCCCCGGCUUGUGUUGGGGACCUGCGGCUGCCGCAGGCCCUGAAAAGCAGUGGCGGGCUCGCUGUCACACCGAGCGUAGUAGCAUACAUCUCGCUCUGGGCGUGCUGCGGGUUCCGGCCGUUAAACCACCUUCAUAACCCAAGGUUGACCUCGGAUCAGGUAGGAAGACCCGCUGAACUUAAGCAUAUCAAUAAGCGGAGGGA